rnacentral:rRNA from 1 species
CGGACCGGUGAGUAACACGUGGAUAACCUACCUAUAAGACUGGGAUAACUUCGGGAAACCGGAGCUAAUACCGGAUAAUAUUUUGAACCGCAUGGUUCAAAAGUGAAAGACGGUCUUGCUGUCACUUAUAGAUGGAUCCGCGCUGCAUUAGCUAGUUGGUAAGGUAACGGCUUACCAAGGCAACGAUGCAUAGCCGACCUGAGAGGGUGAUCGGCCACACUGGAACUGAGACACGGUCCAGACUCCUACGGGAGGCAGCAGUAGGGAAUCUUCCGCAAUGGGCGAAAGCCUGACGGAGCAACGCCGCGUGAGUGAUGAAGGUCUUCGGAUCGUAAAACUCUGUUAUUAGGGAAGAACAUAUGUGUAAGUAACUGUGCACAUCUUGACGGUACCUAAUCAGAAAGCCACGGCUAACUACGUGCCAGCAGCCGCGGUAAUACGUAGGUGGCAAGCGUUAUCCGGAAUUAUUGGGCGUAAAGCGCGCGUAGGCGGUUUUUUAAGUCUGAUGUGAAAGCCCACGGCUCAACCGUGGAGGGUCAUUGGAAACUGGAAAACUUGAGUGCAGAAGAGGAAAGUGGAAUUCCAUGUGUAGCGGUGAAAUGCGCAGAGAUAUGGAGGAACACCAGUGGCGAAGGCGACUUUCUGGUCUGUAACUGACGCUGAUGUGCGAAAGCGUGGGGAUCAAACAGGAUUAGAUACCCUGGUAGUCCACGCCGUAAACGAUGAGUGCUAAGUGUUAGGGGGUUUCCGCCCCUUAGUGCUGCAGCUAACGCAUUAAGCACUCCGCCUGGGGAGUACGACCGCAAGGUUGAAACUCAAAGGAAUUGACGGGGACCCGCACAAGCGGUGGAGCAUGUGGUUUAAUUCGAAGCAACGCGAAGAACCUUACCAAAUCUUGACAUCCUUUGACAACUCUAGAGAUAGAGCCUUCCCCUUCGGGGGACAAAGUGACAGGUGGUGCAUGGUUGUCGUCAGCUCGUGUCGUGAGAUGUUGGGUUAAGUCCCGCAACGAGCGCAACCCUUAAGCUUAGUUGCCAUCAUUAAGUUGGGCACUCUAAGUUGACUGCCGGUGACAAACCGGAGGAAGGUGGGGAUGACGUCAAAUCAUCAUGCCCCUUAUGAUUUGGGCUACACACGUGCUACAAUGGACAAUACAAAGGGCAGCGAAACCGCGAGGUCAAGCAAAUCCCAUAAAGUUGUUCUCAGUUCGGAUUGUAGUCUGCAACUCGACUACAUGAAGAGGAAUCGCGAGUAAUUGUAGAUCAGCAUGGUAAGUUGAAAAAGUUCCCCGGUAGGGUU